rnacentral:rRNA from 3 species
AUUGCCUCAGUAACGGCGAGUGAAGCGGCAACAGCUCAAAUUUGAAAUCUGGCCCUAGGCCCGAGUUGUAAUUUGCAGAGGAUGCUUUUGGUGAGGUGCCUUCCGAGUUCCCUGGAACGGGACGCCAUAGAGGGUGAGAGCCCCGUCUGGUCGGACACCGAGCCUCUGUAAAGCUCCUUCGACGAGUCGAGUAGUUUGGGAAUGCUGCUCUAAAUGGGAGGUAUAUGUCUUCUAAAGCUAAAUACCGGCCAGAGACCGAUAGCGCACAAGUAGAGUGAUCGAAAGAUGAAAAGCACUUUGAAAAGAGAGUUAAAUAGCACGUGAAAUUGUUGAAAGGGAAGCGUUUAUGACCAGACUUGGCCCGGUUGAUCAUCCAGCGUUCUCGCUGGUGCACUCUGCCGGUCCAGGCCAGCAUCAGUUCGUCGCGGGGGAUAAAGGUUUCGGGAAUGUGGCUCCUCCGGGAGUGUUAUAGCCCGUUGCGUAAUACCCUGCGGUGGACUGAGGUCCGCGCUUCUGCAAGGAUGCUGGCGUAAUGGUCAUCAACGACCCGUCUUGAAACACGGACCAAGGAGUCGUCUUCGUAUGCGAGUGUUCGGGUGUAAAACCCCUACGCGUAAUGAAAGUGAACGCAGGUGAGAGCUUCGGCGCAUCAUCGACCGAUCCUGAUGUUCUCGGAUGGAUUUGAGUAAGAGCAUACGGGGCCGGACCCGAAAGAAGGUGAACUAUGCCUGUAUAGGGUGAAGCCAGAGGAAACUCUGGUGGAGGCUCGCAGCGGUUCUGACGUGCAAAUCGAUCGUCAAAUAUGGGCAUGGGGGCGAAAGACUAAU